UACGGGGGGGGCAAGCGUUGUUCGGAAUUACUGGGCGUAAAGGGCUCGUAGGCGGCCAACUAAGUCGGAUGUGAAAUCCCCAGGCUUAACCUGGGAACUGCAUCCGAUACUGGAUGGCUUGAAUCCGGGAGAGGGAUGCGGAAUUCCAGGUGUAGCGGUGAAAUGCGUAGAUAUCUGGAGGAACACCGGUGGCGAAGGCGGCACCCUGGACCGGCAUUGACGCUGAGGAGCGAAAGCCAGGGGAGCAAACGGG
rnacentral:rRNA from 1 species